rnacentral:rRNA from 1 species
UACAGAGGGUGCAAGCGUUGUUCGGAAUUAUUGGGCGUAAAGGGCGCGUAGGCGGUGCCACAAGUCACCUGUGAAAUCUCCGGGCUUAACUCGGAGCCUGCAGGCAAAACUGUGGUGCUGGAGUGUGGGAGAGGUGCGUGGAAUUCCCGGUGUAGCGGUGAAAUGCGUAGAUAUUGGGAGGAACACCGGUGGCGAAGGCGGCCCCCUGGACCGGUACUGACGCUGAGGCGCGAAAGCGUGGGUAGCAAACGGG